AUAACGGUCCUAAGGUAGCGAAAUUCCUUGUCGGGUAAGUUCCGACCCGCACGAAUGGCGUAACGAUGGCCACACUGUCUCCUCCUGAGACUCAGCGAAGUUGAAGUGGUUGUGAAGAUGCAAUCUACCCGCUGCUAGACGGAAAGACCCCGUGAACCUUUACUGUAGCUUUGCAUUGGACUUUGAAGUCACUUGUGUAGGAUAGGUGGGAGGCUUUGAAGCAGAGACGCCAGUCUCUGUGGAGCCGUCCUUGAAAUACCACCCUGGUGUCUUUGAGGUUCUAACCCAGACCCGUAAUCCGGGUCGGGGACCGUGCAUGGUAGGCAGUUUGACUGGGGCGGUCUCCUCCCAAAGAGUAACGGAGGAGUUCGAAGGUUACCUAGGUCCGGUCGGAAAUCGGACUGAUAGUGCAAUGGCAAAAGGUAGCUUAACUGCGAGACCGACAAGUCGAGCAGGUGCGAAAGCAGGACAUAGUGAUCCGGUGGUUCUGUAUGGAAGGGCCAUCGCUCAACGGAUAAAAGGUACUCCGGGGAUAACAGGCUGAUUCCGCCCAAGAGUUCAUAUCGACGGCGGAGUUUGGCACCUCGAUGUCGGCUCAUCACAUCCUGGGGCUGUAGUCGGUCCCAAGGGUAUGGCUGUUCGCCAUUUAAAGUGGUACGUGAGCUGGGUUUAAAACGUCGUGAGACAGUUUGGUCCCUAUCUGCAGUGGGCGUUGGAAGUUUGACGGGGGCUGCUCCUAGUACGAGAGGACCGGAGUGGACGAACCUCUGGUGUACCGGUUGUAACGCCAGUUGCAUAGCCGGGUAGCUAAGUUCGGAAGAGAUAAGCGCUGAAAGCAUCUAAGCGCGAAACUCGCCUGAAGAUGAGACUUCCCUUGUGGUUUAACCACGCUAAAGAGUCGUUCGAGACCAGGACGUUGAUAGGUGGGGUGUGGAAGCGCGGUAACGCGUGAAGCUAACCCAUACUAAUUGCUCGUGAGGCUUGACUCU
rnacentral:rRNA from 1 species